UCAGUUGGCCGGGCAGCCGCGCCUGUUAUAUGUCGAAAGACGGCAGGUGAGGAAAGUCCGGGCUCCAUGGAAACACGGUGCCGGGUAAUGCCCGGCGGGGGCGACCCCAGGGAAAGUGCCACAGAAAGCAAACCGCCCCGUCUUCCGUUGCGCCGCGUCUUUUGGGGAUCAUGCCACAGGACCGGGCGCAAGGGAUGACGGGGUAAGGGUGAAAGGGUGGGGUAAGAGCCCACCGCGUCUCCGGCAACGGCGACGGCACGGUAAACCCCACCGGGAGCAAGACCGAAUAGGGACGGCGUGCCGGACGAAAGUCCGGCGAUCUGUUUCCGGAUCAGCCGUCCGGGUAGGUUGCAAGAGGCGGUUGGCGACAUCCGUCCCAGAUGAAUGGCUGCCGCGUCGGGCGCAGGCCCGGCCAUACAGAACCCGGCUUACAGGCCAACUGACAUU
rnacentral:RNase_P_RNA from 1 species